ensembl:lncRNA
AGGGCCUCUGAGACUUGGAAAGCUGGAUCAUAAAAGAUAGCAGAGGUCCUGCCUGUGGUUUUGAUACUCACUCUUAGAACUCAACUACCGAUACAAAGAAGUCCAAACCAACUCGAGUUGGAGGCCCCUGGCAAGUUCCCCCUCCUGCGACCCAGCUGAGGCCCUAGCCAACAGCAGUAUUAAUGGCCAACUGUGUGGAUGAAGAAGCCCCUGAGGGGCCCGCCUCCCAGGACAUGGGCUGCCUCCAGCCUUUGAGUCUUCCCAGCCGAAGCUUCGAAUGUCUUGGAGCAGAAACAAUCUAGAGCAUUCUGCUGUGUUUGGAUUCCUGACCUGAAGAAUCUAUGGAUGGCAUUCACCUGAACUGCUUCACAGAGGAGAUCUCCAAGUGAUGGUGAGGAACGGCAACCACUUAGCAUCCAUUCGAGCCAGACUACGGAAGCCACAGCUGUAGGAAGAAGCAGAUGUGGGAAUCUGGGUCUUGUGACUUGUACCAGGAUCAGCGCUCACUGUGUUCAAGGUGAAAGGAAGAAGGAAGAAUGAUUAUAAAGUUGAUGUAGACUAUUUGGACCAAUUGUCUUGACAAGUUUCUUCAAAUUGGAGGCAACUCUGCCACAUGGUCUAGGAAGUACAAAAUCAAGAUGGAAGCUUGUGAUUAAUGAAAAUAAG